AAUACCCCAUGUAGGUUUAUGGUAAAUAGGUCUGUAUCUAGGAAUACUAAAUAUUAAUAAAUUGAGCAGAGAUAACAGUGACUUCAAGAAAACCACGCAGCAAACGUUUUACUGAACAAUGACGACUUCGAACUCCUCAACUCCUGAACCAAAGCCUGAGACGUCCCCAGAGCCUGAAGGUGGACUGCACGGCACCCUGUUCCCUGAAUUAAUGGGUAACCAACAAGCGUUCAUCAUUAAUGGCGGUUUAAUCUUUUUGCUUUUCAUCUUCUGUAUCAUCCUACUGGUCCUGUUUCUCAAGCUGAAGAAGAGAUUUAAAAAGUUAAGCAGCGAGGUUUCUGAAUCACAGUAUCACUUGCGAGCAAGCACAGGGAAAAUCGAACCAAAAGUUUAGAUGUCACAGAUUGUUUAUAAUCCUGCACAGACGUUGAUCAGCGUUAAUCAUUUGAGACAAUUCAUAUCAAAUAUCGAUAAAAUAUCUAGAUAGUUUUAGUAAAAGCUCAAUGUAGAUUUUAAAAAAUUAAGAAAAAAAAUUAAGGGAGAAGGGAGGGAAGAUGAAAAAGGGAAACAUACUUUGUACCAU